UACGAAGGGUGCAAGCGUUACUCGGAAUUACUGGGCGUAAAGCGUGCGUAGGUGGUCUGUUAAGUCUGAUAUGAAAGCCCUGGGCUCAACCUGGGAAUUGCAUUGGAUACUGGCAGGCUAGAGUGCGGUAGAGGAUGGCGGAAUUCCCGGUGUAGCAGUGAAAUGCGUAGAGAUCGGGAGGAACAUCUGUGGCGAAGGCGGCCAUCUGGACCAGCACUGACACUGAGGCACGAAAGCGUGGGGAGCAAACAGG
rnacentral:rRNA from 1 species